rnacentral:rRNA from 1 species
CCUACGGGUGGCAGCAGUGAGGAAUAUUGGUCAAUGGGCGCGAGCCUGAACCAGCCAAGUAGCGUGAAGGAUGACUGCCCUACGGGUUGUAAACUUCUUUUAUAAAGGAAUAAAGUGAGGCACGUGUGCCUUUUUGUCUGUACUUUAUGAAUAAGGAUCGGCUAACUCCGUGCCAUCAGCCGCGGUAAUACGGAGGAUCCGAGCGUUAUCCGGAUUUAUUGGGUGUAAAGGGAGCGUAGAUGGGUUGUUAAGUCAGUUGUGAAAGUGUGCGGCUCAACCGUAAAAUUGCAAUUGAUACUGGCAGUCUUGAGUACAGUUGAGGUAGGCGGAAUUCGUGGUGUAGCGGUGAAAUGCUUAGAUAUCACGAAGAACUCCGAUUGCGAAGGCAGCUUACUAAACUGCCACUGACAUUGAUGCUCGAAAGUGUGGGUAUCAAACAGGAUUAGAUACCCGAGUAGUC